AGUGAACGCUGGCGGUAGGCCUAACACAUGCAAGUCGAACGGCAGCACAGUAAGAGCUUGCUCUUACGGGUGGCGAGUGGCGGACGGGUGAGGAAUACAUCGGAAUCUACUUUUUCGUGGGGGAUAACGUAGGGAAACUUACGCUAAUACCGCAUACGACCUACGGGUGAAAGCAGGGGAUCUUCGGACCUUGCGCGAUUGAAUGAGCCGAUGUCGGAUUAGCUAGUUGGCGGGGUAAAGGCCCACCAAGGCGACGAUCCGUAGCCGGUCUGAGAGGAUGAUCAGCCACACUGGAACUGGGACACGGUCCAGACUCCUACGGGAGGCAGCAGUGGGGAAUAUUGGACAAUGGGCGCAAGCCUGAUCCAGCCAUCCCGCGUGGGUGAAGAAGGCCUUCGGGUUGUAAAGCCCUUUUGUUGGGAAAGAAAAGCAGCAGGUUAAUACCCCGCUGUUCUGACGGUACCCAAAGAAUAAGCACCGGCUAACUUCGUG
rnacentral:rRNA from 1 species